UAUAUAUUCCUUGAUAUUUUCAGUAUUUUGUGAGCGGAAUACAACUAUAGAGAUCUGGAGUUUGCUGUCCAAGAGAGCUGGGCUGAAAUUGAUGAGUUAGCGGCAGUUCGUGCCUGCGAUUAAACCCAGAGGUAGCCCGCUUGGUUUGCCUCGAACCCGAGCCCAAACCUGCUGCAGAAUAUGUCCCGCAUCUUCAGUACCUACUCCGACACCAGACCAAACUAUAUCAGCCUAAUCGAAUCCUUUCCCUGCACAGCUGGAAGUGUCUGGGGAUUGAUGAGGAACAGGACAGGAGCUGUGCUUGCCGAUACCGUCAGCUACAGAUAAGAAAUCGGUGAUGUUUACGGUUGGAUCAUCGUCCAUCUCCCUCUGCCAAUCCCACAACUUCAGCCGUCGGAGCCAAUGAGGUACCUCAUUGCGUCUGAGUAAGAUCGAACUGGCAUUCCAUUUUUGAUGCAUCAUCCCGUUUCCCUGCAACCCUGCUGCGUCAACGGAGUAGUAGUAUGUGGAAAGGCAACCUUAUUCCUAGCGGCGGCAUGUUGAUAGGAGUUCCGGUGGUUCAUCUCACCCUCCGCCACCCGGUUCCGGUGGCCUGAUAAUGGAAUAAUAUGCCCUGUAGAGUAGGUACACGGUGCAAAGACCUGAGCACCCCGGUACCUAGGAAACUAUCAGUAAGCAACUCAAAUAUUGCCUUCGUUGUGAAGAUCUCACCUUCAAGUACGCUGGACGAAAUCUGCGUGGGAUUUCGUUAUUCGUCGGAUGGCGCCACAGAAAUUAAUAUAUGCUUGAUGGCAAAGCUGCUGUAAAUAUUGGUUGCUGUUGUAAGCGUUAUUUGUGAGAAUGACGAUGCCGCUGUCUUCAAGCGGUACUUUAUUCACCGCUGCCGUCAGAAUGGUCGCCCCAACUACUUUGCGCCCGCAG